rnacentral:rRNA from 1 species
AACGAACGCUGGCGGCACGCCUAACACAUGCAAGUCGAACGAGACCUUCGGGUCUAGUGGCGCACGGGUGCGUAACGCGUGGGAAUCUGCCCUUGGGUUCGGAAUAACUCAGAGAAAUUUGAGCUAAUACCGGAUGAUGACGAAAGUCCAAAGAUUUAUCGCCCAAGGAUGAGCCCGCGUAAGAUUAGCUUGUUGGUGGGGUAAUGGCCCACCAAGGCGACGAUCUUUAGCUGGUCUGAGAGGAUGAUCAGCCACACUGGGACUGAGACACGGCCCAGACUCCUACGGGAGGCAGCAGUGGGGAAUAUUGGACAAUGGGCGAAAGCCUGAUCCAGCAAUGCCGCGUGAGUGAUGAAGGCCUUAGGGUUGUAAAGCUCUUUUACCAGGGAUGAUAAUGACAGUACCUGGAGAAUAAGCUCCGGCUAACUCCGUGCCAGCCGCCACCGUAAGAC